rnacentral:rRNA from 1 species
AUGACAAUGCUUUCGAUAGUCUAUACUAAAUUACUUUGUAUGAAUGCACAUCUCGGCCAUCGGGUAGCUGAUCACCAUUUCAAAGUCUAUAUCCGUGGUUCAAGAAAUGGAAUUGCUAUUCUCGAUUCAAACAAGACACUGAUUUGUUUACGAAACGCUCUUCAUUUUAUAGGAUCUCCCAGUCGUCAAAAAGGCCGUUCCUUCUUUUUAAAGACCAAUCAUUUAUUUAUUUAUGAGAUAACAGAAGAAAUGGCGAGCUAUUUAAGAAGCUAUUUAAGAAAUGUGAAUUCUCAUUGUUUCGAUGAUUCUCAAUGGAAGAUCGGGGCGUUUUUGACCAAAUCUUUUGCAAAUAAAAAAAAUUCCGUUCAAGAAAGAAGAAGAUCAAUUUUGGGUUGA